AUGGCCGUAGCCAGCUAUGAGGUCACAGAGGUCCGGACCUCGGUAAUUUUUUUCAUAUUAAAAAAUAAAAUGUAAAGUUCUCUGAAUGACUAAUUAGUUUUUCAAAACGAAUCCGCAUAAAUAAUUUAGUUUGGACAGUUUACUGUAUAGUUUAGUGUAAAAUGACGAAGACUGGCUUAAGCUGUGACGGCGCGGGUACAGAAUUUGCAGUGUUGCCAGAUCCCAUCGUAAAAAAUCCUCUUUAGACAUAGUGUUUAGCAAUGAAUGUGACAAUUUGACACUAUCUAUAAAGUGAUUGUUAGGUGAAGGUUAGUAUUAGCAAUUUCACUGAUUUAUUUCUGAAAUACAAGGUUUGGACGAACUUUGUUUUUAAGGCCAAUUAUUUUUGCUUGUUUUUCGUACUAAUAUCUGGCAACAUGGAAACUGAAAGUUAUCAAAUAAGACGCAUGAUUCAGCGCAAGCAGGUUAUUGCUGAUACUACAUUCAGUAAGAUAAAAGCAGUAAUCAUCAUAAUUGUGUCUGUAAGAGUAUCAACAACACUAUCGAAAAACAGAAAACAACUCUGGUACAAAGAUGCACUCUUAGAACGUAUGUGUUAAAAACAACACAUUCGUGAAUCCCUCAGCUCUGUGUUAUUAUUGAAAAAACACAUUUUUUGUUACUUUUAACACAACUUGUGUUAUAUUUUAACACAAAAUCAACACAAAAUGACACAUAAUGUGUUAAAGUUUUUGUUAACACGCACCGGCCCGGCGGCGGGCCCUAGGGGGCGUUUUUACGUGUUUUUGUACUUUGUUUAACAUCAAAUAUUCAAUCAACAAUCAUAAACUUUGCAUUAUUUGAAAGUUUAAACACUCCAAAUUCAUGUUCUGAGCUUAUUUUUGCAAUCAAUACACUGGUGUGGAAAAGAUUAAAUGAAAUGCAGACGGAAUGCAUAUAAAAAAAUUUGUGGGUACUCACAUGGCUUGCCAUAUGGUUCUGACAAUUUCUGACAAUUCCCAAAAACUUCAACGUACAUUGCAAGGUAAGGGUCCACUCUUCAAAAAGCAUCCCACGUUUUAAUCCAAAACAAUUGCUGAGUCCCAAUUCGCAUACUAUCCGUCCUAAAUAGUAUUCGAAACUAGAAUUAGUACGUCCCAAAACGUAGUAUGUUGAAAUGAGUAUCCCAAAGAUACCCGGAUGGUCUACUAUUUCCGGUUAGAUUUCGAAGUGCAGAUCGAUCCACACUCUAACGGCUAAUAUUGCCCACAACCCAUUGCGUUCGGGAGGGAGGAGCUUUGUGGUGAUGUAAAUAUGGCAGCCAGACGCAGCAGCGGAGAUGCGCCCUCAGCUUUUAAGUGUAAUUAUUCAAAUGUUUAACCCUAUUAAAGUUAUCUUUCAUUGUCUCGUAAUACUCGGUUGAUGUUGUGAAAAUAAAGUACCAUGGCUGUAGUACUGUGUCAUGCAUGUGUCUUUUUAUGUAUUUCUUUUUAUGUUUCUGUCUUAGAUUUAUACCUUACUAUAAACCCUUAUGAAAAUAAACACCUUUUACUACACUAAUCAUAGUUUAACCACACUGACUUAUUUGUAGUAAUACUGUGGCUGUACAAAUGUUAACUUUAUUAAGAAAUGUAAUAUGGUUACUAAACUUUUACUAUAGUAAAAGCAUGGUUCAUUUUCAUCGCGGUAUUUUUGAUUUGCAUACAUAAGUAUAAAAUAAGCAUAAAAUACGUUAAACAAUAGUUAUACUAUAAACUUUAACUAUUUUGACUUUAAAAUAAGUAGCUUUCGUUACACACAUUGACAUGUUGCACAUGAACAUCAUAACCAGCCGUCUCACAAACGACCUGCGUUUGGUGUGCGUAACUAGGCAACCACGUUGUCGUUCACGUUGCAUGACGUCAUCGAAGUACGUCCCAGAACGUGCAUACUCUUUUGCUACACACUCAAAAGUACGUACAUUUUCCUCACAAAAACAGUACAUACUUUUAGGUCGUAGUAUAAGUAGGCGAAUUGGGACUCAGCAACUGAAAAAUAGUGAGAAAUCCAGCAAUAUCCUCCUUUGUUUACAUCCGCGCGUCCGCUAAGUAUGAUCGAUCAUGUUUAUUUUCUAUCAAAUAUCGAUUUUUAUCAGUGAAAAUCCAUCUCUUCCUGCUUCGUUAGACUGUUCAGAUAAAUAUCCCGCCCUAUUUUUCUGUUUUGUCCAAUCAGAAAAGGUUUGACAACUCAAAAUCUCAUGCGAUCAAUGAUUUGCCUAGAUAGAUGUCUUUCAGCUUGCCAUAGGCUUUUGACUGGAUUACACCAAAACAAAGCCAGCCAAUGCAUAGUGAGCAAAGCUUUGAUUGACAGAGGAAGUAACCAAUCAUGAAACGAUUACAAGGAUUCAACUUACGUCAGUAAAGUGUACUUCUGCGCAAAUCUACAGAAGCGCAUGGAGAGAAAUGCCCACGCCCCCUCCGUGCGCGUUUGUUUGUUUGGGUAGCAUAGCAGCCGGCUAAGCUCUCCGGAGCCGCUGAGAAACCUCUUCAAAUGUUAGAUAUAACAUCUCCAUUGUGGAUCGUGGACUGCAGAUUACUUUUUUGUGUUGAAAGUGUUUUGGAGAAGUUGAUAAAGAGCAUGAUCGCGGAUCAACAAUGCAAGACUGGAUGUAAACAAAGCGCGUCGUCGAGGAGAGAUGGACCGGAUUAUGAGCUCAGCUGCGCUCGCUUGGAUAAAGACUUCAGCUGACACAGGAGGACUGGAAUCUGGAGUGCAUUCAUGAGCGACCAUAUUCAAAAUAGCAAGUAUUUUGUUAUAAUGUGCAAAUGUUUUUUUCUGAAAUAGUUUUUUCUAUGUGCUUUGGUGGGCAGAGAAGUUCUGAAUUGAUAUACAUAAUGUAAUAUGUAGUCCUGACUCAUUUUCUUUUUAUAAUCAUGUCAUAUUGUUAUCAUGUGUAUAUUUGGAGUUUCCAAGUGCACUUUUUCUGAAAGGACGCCUGGACUUUUUUGAAAUAAAAGCUCACAGAAACAACA